rnacentral:rRNA from 1 species
GUUUGAUCCUGGCUCAGAUUGAACGCUGGCGGCAUGCCUUACACAUGCAAGUCGAACGGCAGCACGGGAGCAAUCCUGGUGGCGAGUGGCGAACGGGUGAGUAAUAUAUCGGAACGUGCCCAGUCGUGGGGGAUAACGCAGCGAAAGCUGUGCUAAUACCGCAUACGAUCUAUGGAUGAAAGCGGGGGAUCGCAAGACCUCGCGCGAUUGGAGCGGCCGAUAUCAGAUUAGCUAGUUGGUGGGGUAAAAGCCCACCAAGGCGACGAUCUGUAGCUGGUCUGAGAGGACGACCAGCCACACUGGAACUGAGACACGGUCCAGACUCCUACGGGAGGCAGCAGUGGGGAAUUUUGGACAAUGGGCGCAAGCCUGAUCCAGCAAUGCCGCGUGCAGGAUGAAGGCCUUCGGGUUGUAAACUGCUUUUGUACGGAACGAAACGGCGAGCUCUAAUAAAGUUUGCUAACGACGGUACCGUAAGAAUAAGCACCGGCUAACUACGUGCCAGCAGCCGCGGUCAUACGUAGGGUGCAAGC